AGAGUUUGAUCCUGGCUCAGGACGAACGCUGGCGGCGCGCUUAACACAUGCAAGUCGAGCGAUAACCAGAGCUUCGGCUCUGGGGAAAGCGGCGAACGGGUGAGUAACACGUGAGUAAUCUGCCCUCGACACUGGGAUAGCCCGGGGAAACCCGGAUUAAUACCGGAUAGCCUUUCGAGCUCUCGGGCUCGUCAGAAAAGGAUGGCUUCGGCUUCCGGCUGAGGAUGAGCCCGCGGCGGAUUAGCUUGUUGGUGAGGUAAUGGCUCACCAAGGCUCCGAUCUGUAGCUGGUCUGAGAGGACGAUCAGCCACACUGGGACUGAGACACGGCCCAGACUCCUACGGGAGGCAGCAGUAGGGAAUCUUGCGCAAUGGGCGAAAGCCUGACGCAGCGACGCCGCGUGCGGGAAGAAGGCCUUCGGGUUGUAAACCGCUUUCAGGAGGGACGAAGCCACUCGGGUUAAUAGCCCAGAGGGUGACGGUACCUCCAGAAGAAGCCCCGGCUAACUACGUGCCAGCAGCCGCGGUAAUACGUAGGGGGCAAGCGUUGUCCGGAUUUAUUGGGCGUGAAGAGCGUGUAGGCGGCCAGAUAGGUCAGCUGUGAAAACUCGAGGCUCAACCUCGAGAUGUCGGCUGAAACCAUCUGGCUAGAGUCCGGAAGAGGAGAAUGGAAUUCCCGGUGUAGCGGUGAAAUGCGUAGA
rnacentral:rRNA from 1 species